rnacentral:rRNA from 1 species
UAAGGAAUAUUGGACAAUGGACGCAAGUCUGAUCCAGCCAUGCCGCGUGAAGGAUGACUGCCCUCUGGGUUGUAAACUUCUUUUAUAGGGGAAGAAAGUUAUUUUUUAGGAUAUUUGAUGGUACCCUAUGAAUAAGCACCGGCUAACUCCGUGCCAGCAGCCGCGGUAAUACGGAGGGUGCAAGCGUUAUCCGGAUUCACUGGGUUUAAAGGGUGCGUAGGCGGGUAUGUAAGUCAGUGGUGAAAUACCGGAGCUUAACUUCGGAACUGCCAUUGAUACUAUAUAUCUUGAAUAUUGUGGAGGUAAGCGGAAUAUGUCAUGUAGCGGUGAAAUGCUUAGAGAUGACAUAGAACACCGAUUGCGAAGGCAGCUUGCUACGCAAAUAUUGACGCUGAGGCACGAAAGCGUGGGGAUCAAACAGGAUUAGAUACCCUGGUAGUCCACGCCCUAAACGAUGAUUACUCGACAUUAGCGAUACACAGUUAAGUGUCUGAGCGAAAGCAUUAAGUAAUCCACCU